rnacentral:rRNA from 1 species
AACGCUAGCUACAGGCUUAACACAUGCAAGUCGAGGGGAAACGACAUUGGAAGCUUGCUUCCGGUGGGCGUCGACCGGCGCACGGGUGAGUAACGCGUAUCCAACCUGCCCACCACUUGGGAAUAACCUUGCGAAAGUAAGACUAAUGCCCAAUGACAUUGAGUGCAGACAUCUAAUCUCAAUUAAAGAUUUAUCGGUGAUGGAUGGGGAUGCGUCUGAUUAGCUUGUUGGCGGGGUAACGGCCCACCAAGGCAACGAUCAGUAGGGGUUCUGAGAGGAAGGUCCCCCACAUUGGAACUGAGACACGGUCCAAACUCCUACGGGAGGCAGCAGUGAGGAAUAUUGGUCAAUGGGCGAGAGCCUGAACCAGCCAAGUAGCGUGCAGGAUGACGGCCCUAUGGGUUGUAAACUGCUUUUAUAAGGGAAUAAAGUGAGUCUCGUGAGACUUUUUGCAUGUACCUUAUGAAUAAGGACCGGCUAAUUCCGUGCCAGCAGCCGCGGUAAUACGGAAGGUCCGGGCGUUAUCCGGAUUUAUUGGGUUUAAAGGGAGCGUAGGCCGGAGAUUAAGCGUGUUGUGAAAUGUAGACGCUCAACGUCUGCACUGCAGCGCGAACUGGUUUCCUUGAGUACGCACAAAGUGGGCGGAAUUCGUGGUGUAGCGGUGAAAUGCUUAGAUAUCACGAAGAACUCCGAUUG